rnacentral:rRNA from 1 species
GCCGCGGUAAUACAGAGGGUGCGAGCGUUAAUCGGAUUUACUGGGCGUAAAGCGUGCGUAGGCGGCUUUUUAAGUCGGAUGUGAAAUCCCCGAGCUUAACUUGGGAAUUGCAUUCGAUACUGGGAAGCUAGAGUAUGGGAGAGGAUGGUAGAAUUCCAGGUGUAGCGGUGAAAUGCGUAGAGAUCUGGAGGAAUMCCGAUGGCGAAGGC